rnacentral:rRNA from 1 species
AGAUUGAACGCUGGCGGCAGGCCUAACACAUGCAAGUCGAGCGGCAGCACGGGUACUUGUACCUGGUGGCGAGCGGCGGACGGGUGAGUAAUGCCUAGGAAUCUGCCUGGUAGUGGGGGGAUAACGCUCGGAAACGGACGCUAAUACCGCAUACGUCCUACGGGAGAAAGCAGGGGACCUUCGGGCCUUGCGCUAUCAGAUGAGCCUAGGUCGGAUUAGCUAGUUGGUGAGGUAAUGGCUCACCAAGGCGACGAUCCGUAACUGGUCUGAGAGGUAUGAUCAGUCACACUGGAACUGAGUACACGGUCCAGACUCCGUACGGG